rnacentral:rRNA from 1 species
CUCAAAGGAAUUGACGGGGGCCCGCACAAGCGGUGGAGCAUGUGGUUUAAUUCGAUGCAACGCGAAGAACCUUACCAGGCCUUGACAUCCUGCGAACUUUCUAGAGAUAGAUUGGUGCCUUCGGGAGCGCAGUGACAGGUGCUGCAUGGCUGUCGUCAGCUCGUGUCGUGAGAUGUUGGGUUAAGUCCCGUAACGAGCGCAACCCUUGUCCUUAGUUGCCAGCAUUCAGUUGGGCACUCUAAGGAGACUGCCGGUGUCAAACCGGAGGAAGGUGGGGAUGACGUCAAGUCCUCAUGGCCCUUAUGUCCAGGGCUACACACGUGCUACAAUGGGCAGGACAAACCGUUGCGAACCCGCGAGGGGGAGCUAAUCGGAGAAACCUGUUCUCAGUUCGGAUUGCAGGCUGCAACUCGCCUGCAUGAAGCUGGAAUCGCUAGUAAUGGUAGAUCAGCAUGCUACCGUGAAUACGUUCCCGGGCCUU